GAACUGUGCGAACGUUAUUCGGAAUCACUGGGCUUACAGGGUGCGUAGGCGGCUUGUUAAGUAGGGUGUGAAAGCCCCCGGCUCAACCGGGGAAUUGCGCCCUAAACUGGCGAGCUGGAGUGAGAUAGGGGUGUGUGGAACUUCUGGUGGAGCGGUGAAAUGUGUUGAUAUCGGAAGGAACGCCGGUGGCGAAAGCGACACACUGGAUCUUGUCUGACGCUGAGGCACGAAAGCCAGGGGAGCGAACGGGAUUAGAUACCCCGGUAGUCCUGGCUGUAAACGAUGAGCACUAGCUAGGAGGGGCGUAGGCCCUUCCUAACGGAGCGAAAGUGUUAAGUGCUCCGCCUGGGGAGUAUGGUCGCAAGGCUG
rnacentral:rRNA from 1 species